rnacentral:rRNA from 1 species
AACACAUGCAAGUCGAGCGGGGGAAGGUAGCUUGCUACUGGACCUAGCGGCGGACGGGUGAGUAAUGCUUAGGAAUCUGCCUAUUAGUGGGGGACAACAUCUCGAAAGGGAUGCUAAUACCGCAUACGUCCUACGGGAGAAAGCAGGGGAUCUUCGGACCUUGCGCUAAUAGAUGAGCCUAAGUCGGAUUAGCUAGUUGGUGGGGUAAAGGCCUACCAAGGCGACGAUCUGUAGCGGGUCUGAGAGGAUGAUCCGCCACACUGGGACUGAGACACGGCCCAGACUCCUACGGGAGGCAGCAGUGGGGAAUAUUGGACAAUGGGGGGAACCCUGAUCCAGCCAUGCCGCGUGUGUGAAGAAGGCCUUAUGGUUGUAAAGCACUUUAAGCGAGGAGGAGGCUACUUUAGUUAAUACCUAGAGAUAGUGGACGUUACUCGCAGAAUAAGCACCGGCUAACUCUGUGCCAGCAGCCGCGGUAAUACAGAGGGUGCGAGCGUUAAUCGGAUUUACUGGGCGUAAAGCGUGCGUAGGCGGCUUAUUAAGUCGGAUGUGAAAUCCCCGAGCUUAACUUGGGAAUUGCAUUCGAUACUGGUGAGCUAGAGUAUGGGAGAGGAUGGUAGAAUUCCAGGUGUAGCGGUGAAAUGCGUAGAGAUCUGGAGGAAUACCGAUGGCGAAGGCAGCCAUCUGGCCUAAUACUGACGCUGAGGUACGAAAGCAUGGGGAGCAAACAGGAUUAGAUACCCUGGUAGUCCAUGCCGUAAACGAUGUCUACUAGCCGUUGGGGCCUUUGAGGCUUUAGUGGCGCAGCUAACGCGAUAAGUAGACCGCCUGGGGAGUACGGUCGCAAGACUAAAACUCAAAUGAAUUGACGGGGGCCCGCACAAGCGGUGGAGCAUGUGGUUUAAUUCGAUGCAACGCGAAGAACCUUACCUGGCCUUGACAUACUAGAAACUUUCCAGAGAUGGAUUGGUGCCUUCGGGAAUCUAGAUACAGGUGCUGCAUGGCUGUCGUCAGCUCGUGUCGUGAGAUGUUGGGUUAAGUCCCGCAACGAGCGCAACCCUUUUCCUUACUUGCCAGCAUUUCGGAUGGGAACUUUAAGGAUACUGCCAGUGACAAACUGGAGGAAGGCGGGGACGACGUCAAGUCAUCAUGGCCCUUACGGCCAGGGCUACACACGUGCUACAAUGGUCGGUACAAAGGGUUGCUACACAGCGAUGUGAUGCUAAUCUCAAAAAGCCGAUCGUAGUCCGGAUUGGAGUCUGCAACUCGACUCCAUGAAGUCGGAAUCGCUAGU